rnacentral:rRNA from 1 species
UACAGAGGUCUCAAGCGUUGUUCGGAUUCAUUGGGCGUAAAGGGCGCGUAGGCGGCUCGGCACGUCCGUUGUGAAAUCGCCCGGCUCAACUGGGCGGGGUCGGCGGAUACGGCCGAGCUGGAGCAAGCUAGGGGGUAAUGGAAUUCCCGGUGUAGUGGUGGAAUGCGUAGAUAUCGGGAGGAACACCAGUGGCGAAGGCGGUUACCUGGAGCUUUGCUGACGCUGAUGCGCGAAAGCGUGGGGAGCGAGUCCGG